rnacentral:rRNA from 1 species
UACGAAGGGGGCUAGCGUUGUUCGGAUUUACUGGGCGUAAAGCGCACGUAGGCGGAUCGCUAAGUCGGGGGUGAAAUCCUGGAGCUCAACUCCAGAACUGCCUUCGAUACUGGCGAUCUUGAGUCCGGAAGAGGUGAGUGGAACUCCUAGUGUAGAGGUGGAAUUCGUAGAUAUUAGGAAGAACACCAGUGGCGAAGGCGGCUCACUGGUCCGGUACUGACGCUGAGGUGCGAAAGCGUGGGGAGCAAACAGG